AUAAAUUGACCAUUAUCUCAGGAUGUCUCUUUCUGACUGCCAAUAUCUUCGCCAUCGCCAGCAUCACCAACCCAGACUGGCUCAACACCAGGGAGUCUGUGGGAGCACUCACUGUGGGCCUCAUGGGACAGUGUCAAACAAUGCGUGGACGAGAGGGGAUGUGCAUCCCUCCCCAGCUUCCCCUGGAGUGGGUCACCAUGCUGUUUUUUAUCAUCAUGGGAAUCAUUUCAUUGACUGUAAAAUUCCCCUUAGACAGACGGAGGCAGCUAGGACUCUGGAGUCAGGUGUGAAUCUGCCCUCCCAUUGAUUGUCACAUGUGGUUUGCUGGUGGCUUCCCACUGGGGAAGAGAAGCUACAAAAUAUGUUCGAUGGAUAGCAUUCACUGGGAUGAUGCUUUUCUGUAUGGCUGCCGUCAUAUUUCCAAUAGGAUUUUACAUCAAUGAAGUCAGAGGUCAACCUUAUAAAUUACCCAACACCACAGUAGUUGGGUCAUCAUAUGUACCUUUUGUCUUAUCAAUUUCUUUACAAUAGUAGGACUUCUAUUUGCUGCCAAGUUUAUUUGC
rnacentral:lncRNA from 1 species